CCUACGGGCGGCAGCAGUGGGGAAUAUUGGACAAUGGGCGAAAGCCUGAUCCAGCCAUGCCGCGUGUGUGAAGAAGGCCUUCGGGUUGUAAAGCACUUUCAGUGGGGAAGAAAGCCUUGGGGCUAAUACCCUCGAGGAAGGACAUCACCCACAGAAGAAGCACCGGCUGAACUCCGUGCCAGCAGCCGCGGUAAUACGGAGGGUGCGAGCGUUAAUCGGAAUUACUGGGCGUAAAGCGCGCGUAGGCGGUCUGAUAAGCCGGUUGUGAAAGCCCCGGGCUCAACCUGGGAACGGCAUCCGGAAAUGUCAGGCUAGAGUGAAGGAGAGGAAGGUAGAAUUCCCGGUGUAGCGGUGAAAUGCGUAGAGAUCGGGAGGAAUACCAGUGGCGAAGGCGGCCUUCUGGACUGACACUGACGCUGAGGUGCGAAAGCGUGGGUAGCAAACAGGAUUAGAUACCCGGGUAGUC
rnacentral:rRNA from 1 species